AGGAAUCUGUUGAUGGCCUUUUGAUUCCGGAUGAACUGGACAAUCAGACGGUUCAGGUACACAAACAAAGCUCCACCAAAACCACUGGCAAUGCUGCAAUGAGAGAUGGACAUGCAUGAGAGAUGAUAGUCUCCAGCUGGAGAGUGGGAGUUCUCUCACGAGUCGCACCUGUCUCGAAUCUGGCCUCAUUGUCUGCUUUAAAAGGCAAGCCACGCUGACAAUAGGCUGUGAGAUUAUUAGACUUAUCCCGACUCUCUGAGCAAGUGCUUAAUUUCCUAGAUAUUCAUGACAUUUUUGCGUCAAUGCCUUGCCUCAUUAGUUUAUAGUUUUUGGUUCUUGUAUUUUCCUUGUUAUGUAUUCUUGUUGUAUAUUCUCUGUGUAUUGAAUUUUCUUGUCCUUUAAAUUGAUAAGAAAUGUUUGUUUCUCUCGUUCAUUGCCUUUUGCAAGUGCUUUUCAUUUGUUCUUGCUUUUUGCUGGUUCCAUGUUCCCAGCGUCCAUCGUUGUACUUUGUCGGUCUUGCAUUUUUGUUAAUCAAUAUAAUUAAUCUCUGUGUCUACAGUUUUGGAAUCCUCAUUCUGUCCGGGCUUUGUCCAGACACUCAAAACUUGUGACAUAAUUAUGGAUGGAUGUUUGACCACUCUUCUUGGUCGAAUUUAUCCAUACAUACAUUUUCUGCACAUAAAAAUGUAAAAAUAUGUAAAAUAAGCAUGUGUAGAUCAUAGGACU